rnacentral:tRNA from 1 species
UGGGAUGUAGCUUAGUGGAAGAGCACUGUGGGACCAAGGGUUUAGUUCCUGGGUUCAAUUCCCAGUACCACAA